UACGUGGGGUGCAAGCGUUGUUCGGAAUUACUGGGCGUAAAGGGCUCGUAGGCGGCCUACUAAGUCGGAUGUGAAAUCCCCAGGCUUAACCUGGGAACUGCAUCCGAUACUGGAUGGCUUGAAUUCGGGAGAGGGAUGCAGAAUUCCAGGUGUAGCGGUGAAAUGCGUAGAUAUCUGGAGGAAUACCGGUGGCGAAGGCGGCAUCCUGGACCGAGAUUGACGCUGAUGAGCGAAAGCUAGGGGAGCAAACGGG
rnacentral:rRNA from 1 species